GGUCGCAUAGCUCAGCUGGUUAGAGCGUACGAUUCACAUUCGUAAGGUCCUUGGUUCGAUCCCAAGUGCGACCA
rfam:Microgenomates (Woesebacteria) bacterium GW2011_GWA2_33_28 TR38_C0008, whole genome shotgun sequence.